ensembl:lncRNA
CUGUGGUCUUCCUAGAAAUGGCAUGAGGACAGGAUUGAGUGUGCCAUCCCUCUGCUGGAAGGAAGGCAACUUCCGUCUGCUAAAUCCCGUGUUAUGAGAACAUUUGGUAUUUGAUUACAGUCAGCAACUUAUCAUUUCAUCUUCCAUUUUGUUGUUCAGUCAUGAGUUAAAUGUUUGGUAAGACAAGGGGGAAUGAUUUUAAACUAAGACAGGGGAGGUUUAGGUUGGAUAUGAGGAGGAAGUUUUUCACCCAGAGGGUGGUGACGCACUGAACAGGUUGCCCAAGGAGGCUGUGGAUGCCCCAUCCCUGCAGGCAUUCAAGGCCAGGCUGGAUGUGGCUCUGGGCAGCCUGGUCUGGUGGUUGGUGACCCUACACAUAGCAGGGUUUUGGAAACAAGAUGAUCAUUGUGGUCCUUUUCCACCCAGGCCAUUCUAGGAUUCUAUGAAAUAAACCAAACUGAAGGAAACGUUAUCAAGUUUUGCCAUGGAGCCUUAGAUUGGAUGUUAUGGACAAUUUCUUCAUGGAGAGGGAGGUGAAGCAUUGAAACCCAGGGAAGUGGUGGUGUCCCUAGCCCUGGAGGUAUUUAUAAGAAAUUGUGUGGAUGUGGCACCAAGUUUUAGUAAUGGGACCUGGUGUGUCAGACUGAUGGUUGGCCCUGAUGAUCUUGAAGGUCUUUGCUGACCUGAAUGAUCCCACAAUGCAACGUGACAUUGCAAAAUGAGUCCAGAAACCCCUGUGCUUUCAGACUUUGAGCAGAUAUUUGGAUUAUAAAACUAAUACUA